rnacentral:tRNA from 1 species
GCCCCCGUAGCUCAGCUGGAUAGAGCAGUGGACUUCUAAUCCACCGGCCGCACGUUCGAAUCGUGCCGGGGGCACCA